rnacentral:rRNA from 1 species
AUGGAUUGGUGGCUGCGCGCAAAGGAACACACACCACCAGCGUCCCGCAAGGCGCUCAAAUCCGUGGCCCUUUUGGUACCGUGGAUGAUCUGGAAGCAUAGAAAUGCGUGUGUUUUCGACCAUGUGUACCCAUCGCUGAACGAGCUUGUAGAAAGGAUCAAAGACGAGACCAGAUGUUGGGCAAAGGCUGGAGCUCAAGGGCUCAGGGUCGUUUUGCCAUCAUCCUGGGACGUGCACUGA